AUGGCGAUACUUUUUGUCUCCGCUAGGGAGAGUUGGAUAUUACUCCAUAAUUAACUACGCAGCCUCUACGAAUUCACCCUUUGAACUGCAUGUAGAAGGUUAACUUUCCAUACGGCCAAAAAAUGAAAAUGCAAUGCUACUAAAACAAGGUUAGGCAACCCGAAAAUCGUAGGGCAAACAUAGCAGAUUUAUUGAGUCAUCAUUUUUGUUAACGUCAUUGGCUAAAUGUAAUACAUCAAAAGUAAAAAAUAUAGUUUUUCAAUUAUUCUCCAUCGUUAUUUUCCUGUAUUUGGAGUCCCAAUGACAUCAUCCGUUGUGCUUUGGAAAAUGACAAAGGAACGUCAUCUGUGCUAUUAUGAAGAGCGACAUCUGUUGUAGGAAAAAGCAUCCUUCAGCUUCUAAUUCGAUGAUCAUGGAAAAAGAAAAGAAAACGUAGUGCAGCAACAGCAGAAUUUUAUAAAGAGAUUAAAGGCACUACGCGGAUCCGUGGAGGGAAAGAAAGUAAAACAACAUCACUAAAACGUGGCUUAGUAAAUUUUUUACUCAACUGCUGUAUAUUUAUUAUUAUUCUCCUCUCUCUCUUCAUUCAUUUCGUUCAUAUAUUUUUGGCCUUUCCCCCUCUUUUUUCACUAUGACAUCACAUAACUCGGACAACAACAUACAACAAUGAGUCGGCUCAUAUAGUGCGACGAAUAACUUUCCUCGUAAAAUAUGUAUAUAUAUAUUGAGCAUGAGAAUCUAUUAUUCUAAUUCUCAUUGCCUUCAAAAAUAAAUACGCUAACCGUCUUAGUACUACUAAUAAUAGUAGUCACUAAUUCUGUCCCUCUCACAAAUAUAUUAUUAAAUUUUAUCUGUCAAUGAUACUAUGAAACUGAGUGCUAUAGACUUAUUAUUAUGGACUCAGGGAUAACUUUUUCUAUACUCCUCUAUUUCAACAUUUUCUACUUCGGACUCUACGCCGUCGUGGAGUUUUCUCUAUUUUUAUUCAAAUACACUCUCGUCCCGAGUUACACUUUUAGCCUUCUUAUCUACGAAGUGUUUCUCUUCGCUUCCACAGUUCUUAUUGAAUGUAUUCGUCUACUACUUGGUCAAAAACAUAAUGAUUCCCUUCGACAUGCACCUUUUAACCAGCGCUUGCGUUCCAUUUUUCAAAUACUUGUUCUCACGGUACCUUCUAUGUACGCCAUUCUGUAUUUCACUGCAUGGCAAACAGUCGUGACCCGACUUGACGCUAUACUGGGAGUCCUCAUGAUACUCCUUCAGACUGCGCAGUUUGUAUCUGCCUUUAUACAUAUUUUGUUAUAAUUUAAUAGAAUCCAUCAUUACUCUCACUUUUUGAUAAAGAAAUAAAUUGCAACCCUCCGUACAUACAAAAAA
rnacentral:lncRNA from 1 species